rnacentral:rRNA from 1 species
AUUGAACGCUGGCGGCAGGCCUAACACAUGCAAGUCGAACGGUAACAGGAAGCAGCUUGCUGCUUCGCUGACGAGUGGCGGACGGGUGAGUAAUGUCUGGGAAGCUGCCUGAUGGAGGGGGAUAACUACUGGAAACGGUAGCUAAUACCGCAUAAUGUCGCAAGCCCAAAGAGGGGGACCUUCGGGCCUCUUGCCAUCGGAUGUGCCCAGAUGGGAUUAGCUUGUUGGUGGGGUAACGGCUCACCAAGGCGACGAUCCCUAGCUGGUCUGAGAGGAUGACCAGCCACACUGGAACUGAGACACGGUCCAGACUCCUACGGGAGGCAUCAGUGGGGAAUAUUGCACAAUGGGCGCAAGCCUGAUGCAGCCAUGCCGCGUGUAUGAAGAAGGCCUUCGGGUUGUAAAGUACUUUCAGCGGGGAGGAAGGGAGUAAAGUUAAUACCUUUGCUCAUUGACGUUACCCGCAGAAGAAGCACCGGCUAACUCCGUG